rnacentral:rRNA from 1 species
UACAGAGACUGCAAGCGUUAUUCGGAUUCACUGGGCGUAAAGGGUGCGCAGGCGGCCAUGUGUGUGAGGCGUGAAAGCCCGGAGCUCAACUCCGGAAUUGCACCUCAAACUACACGGCUAGAGCAUUGGAGAGGGUAGCGGAAUUCACGGUGUAGCAGUGAAAUGCGUAGAUAUCGUGAGGAACACCAGAGGCGAAGGCGGCUACCUGUCUGCGACUGACGCUGUGGCGCGAAAGCUAGGGGAGCAAACGGG